rnacentral:rRNA from 1 species
CACGUAGGGGGCAAGCGUUGUCCGGAAUCAUUGGGCGUAAAGAGCUCGUAGGCGGCUCAGUAAGUCGGGUGUGAAACCCCGGGGCUCAACCCCGGAACUGCAUCCGAUACUGCGUGGCUAGAGGUAGGUAGGGGAGAUCGGAAUUCCUGGUGUAGCGGUGAAAUGCGCAGAUAUCAGGAGGAACACCGGUGGCGAAGGCGGAUCUCUGGGCCUUACCUGACGCUCAGGCACGAAAGCUAGGGGAGCGAACAGG